GUCUAUGGCCAUGCUACCCUGAACAAACCCGAUGUCUAAUCGUGGAAGCUAAGCAGAGUUGGGCCUGUUUAGUACUUGGAUGGGAGACCACCUAGGAAGACCAGGUGCUGUAGGCA
rnacentral:rRNA from 1 species